rnacentral:rRNA from 1 species
GAGUUUGAUCCUGGCUCAGAUUGAACGCUGGCGGCAGGCCUAACACAUGCAAGUCGAACGGUAACAUUUCUAGCUUGCUAGAAGAUGACGAGUGGCGGACGGGUGAGUAAUGCUUGGGAACUUGCCUUUGCGAGGGGGAUAACAGUUGGAAACGACUGCUAAUACCGCAUAAUGUCUUCGGACCAAACGGGGCUUCGGCUCCGGCGCAAAGAGAGGCCCAAGUGAGAUUAGCUAGUUGGUAAGGUAACGGCUUACCAAGGCGACGAUCUCUAGCUGUUCUGAGAGGAAGAUCAGCCACACUGGGACUGAGACACGGCCCAGACUCCUACGGGAGGCAGCAGUGGGGAAUAUUGCACAAUGGGGGAAACCCUGAUGCAGCCAUGCCGCGUGUGUGAAGAAGGCCUUCGGGUUGUAAAGCACUUUCAGUUGUGAGG